rnacentral:rRNA from 1 species
UACGGGGGGGGUAAGCGUUGUUCGGAAUUACUGGGCGUAAAGGGCUCGUAGGCGGCCAACUAAGUCAGACGUGAAAUCCCUCAGCUUAACUGGGGAACUGCGUCUGAUACUGGAUGGCUUGGAUUCGGGAGAGGAAUGCGGAAUUCCAGGUGUAGCGGUGAAAUGCGUAGAUAUCGGAAGGAACACCUGUGGCGAAAGCGGCUCUCUGGACCACAACUGACGCUGAGGCGCGAAAGCUAGGGGAGCAAACAGG